rnacentral:pre_miRNA from 1 species
AAUAAGUGCAAUUUUAGCAAUAUUCAUGUUUAACAUUUGACCGUUCGUCUUAUUUAAAAAAAGAUUAUGAUUAGUAUUUUUAUUGUUAUUGGAUGAUAAAACAUAAAUAGUACUUUAUGUGUGACUAAUUUUUUAAUAUUUUUUAUUAAAUUUUCAAAUAAGACGGAUGGUCAAAGUGCUAAAUAUGGAUAUCUAUGGCUGCACUUAUU